rnacentral:rRNA from 1 species
GACCCCAGUAGUCCACGCCGUAAACGCUGGGUACUGAGCAUUGGAAGUAUCGACCCUUUCAGUGCUGUUUAUUUAAGCUAACGCCUUAAGUACCCCACCUGGGGAGUACGGCCGCAAGGCUAAAACUCAAAGGAAUUGACGGGAGUCCGCACAAGCG